UGGAGCUCAAUGUGUUUUGCUGGAGAUCCCUGUAAACCUGAGCUCUUUUGAAGGUAUGUAGCUUCUUUCUCAAUACGUUUUGCUGGAGAUCCCUGUAAACCUGAGCUCUUUUGAAGGUGCAGUAAAUCAGGGAGAGAUAAGAAGGCUUGCAGCUCUGUCAAGCUACAGCACCUUAAGAUAACAGGGUCCUGUGGUACCGGCAGCCCUGCAAGAAACAGUCUCUGAGAUGAGAGUCAUUUUGGCCCAGUCUUGCGUGCUGUUGAACACCUGUAAAAGGCUAAGCAUGAUGCUAGGAGCCCACUCUAAUGGGACUGGAACUACCCAAAUGAAUACCAGGAGAAAAAGUUCACUGAAAACAGAUCCAAUGGCAAAGAAAUGGCACUUAAUAGCCAGCGAGUGCUUAUUCAAGAUCAUA
ensembl:lncRNA